UUAGGUGGCAAGCGUUGUCCAGAAUUAUUGGGCGUAAAGCGCGCGCAGGCGGUUCUUUAAGUCUGAUGUGAAAGCCCACGGGCUCAACCGUGGAGGGUCAUUGGAAACUGGAGAACUUGAGUACAGAAGAGGAAAGCGGAAUUCCACGUGUAGCGGUGAAAUGCGUAGAGAUGUGGAGGAACACCAGUGGCGAAGGCGGCUUUCUGGUCUGUAACUGACGCUGAGGCGCGAAAGCGUGGGGAGCAAACAGGAUUAGAUACCCUGGUAGUCCACGCCGUAAACGAUGAGUGCUAAGUGUUAGGGGGUUUCCGCCCCUUAGUGCUGCAGCUAACGCAUUAAGCACUCCGCCUGGGGAGUACGGCCGCAAGGCUG
rnacentral:rRNA from 1 species